AUUCGGACAGCGACUUCAAAGUCAUUUGUAGAAGGCUAAACAUUUGGACGACGGAUACACUGGAUGAUAAGGUAGAUGGUCCAGCCUUACAUGGGAAUGACACGAUGGGUGUUGAACACAGAAAACGUGCCGUGUACAAGAAAAAAAUGGAGUUUAUGAAAGCUUCAAGGAAUUAAUCCUGCCGGGUACCCA
rnacentral:lncRNA from 1 species